AUUAACAGUUAGGAGUUGAUGGCAGUUUCAAUAACAGGUCAUUGCCGAGAAAAGGAUAGCACUAUAAUAUGCAGAAAUCUACGAAUUCUGAUACUUCCGUGGAAACACUGAAUUCUACCCGCCAAGGCACAGGAGCUGUGCAAAUGAGAAUCAAAAAUGCCAACAGCCACCAUGACAGGCUCAGCCAAAGUAAAUCCAUGAUCCUCACCGAUGUCGGGAAGGUCACUGAACCUAUAUCCAGACACAGAAGGAAUCAUUCACAGCAUAUCUUGAAAGAUGUCAUUCCUCCAUUGGAACAACUGAUGGUUGAAAAAGAAGGUUAUCUGCAAAAAGCUAAAAUUGCAGAUGGAGGAAAGAAACUAAGGAAAAACUGGUCUACUUCCUGGAUUGUUCUUUCUAGUCGAAAAAUUGAAUUUUACAAAGAAUCCAAGCAACAGGCUCUGUCCAAUAUGAAAACUGGGCACAAACCAGAAAGUGUGGAUUUGUGUGGAGCACACAUUGAAUGGGCCAAGGAAAAAUCGAGCAGAAAGAAUGUCUUUCAGAUCACAACAGUAUCAGGAAAUGAGUUCCUUCUACAGUCAGAUAUUGACUUCAUCAUAUUGGAUUGGUUCCACGCUAUCAAAAAUGCAAUUGACAGAUUGCCGAAGGAUUCAAGUUGUCCAUCAAGAAACCUGGAAUUAUUCAAAAUCCAAAGAUCCUCUAGCACUGAAUUGCUAAGUCACUACGACAGUGAUAUAAAAGAACAGAAACCAGAGCACAGAAAAUCUUUAAGUGAGUAUUUUCUUUGACUUGCUCAUUUUAAGUUUGUCUAAAUGCAGUGCUUAUGAAAUAUAAAUGCAUUGAAAUGAGAUUUAAGCCAAACUCAUCAUACUCAUGGAAGAUUCGUAGCCAUUUCCUGGCCAGGGAUUUGUGCACUGGAGGGCAGUCUGGGCACUUUGCUCACAUCAUUGUUGGUAAUGCCUUUUGAGAAAAUAAUUGUUCCAAGGUCAUGGUCUCUGCUUACAGCAAACCUCUGAAUCUCUGAGUAAUAGCCAUGGUGUUCAGAUUGGUGAUUGAUUUUGAGAGUGGGAAAUGUCAAGCAUCUCC
rnacentral:sRNA from 1 species